GGGGCUAUAGCUCAGCUGGGAGAGCGCCUGCUUUGCACGCAGGAGGUCUGCGGUUCGAUCCCGCAUAGAUCCACCA
rnacentral:tRNA from 1 species